GUAUUCUGUACAUAGGCGGUUGAUCUGAAAAAUGAUAUUUCCAGUUAAUCAGAAGUGAUAAUCUCUGUUUCGGUUGAUUUUGUAGAGUAUGUUCUCUUCCUAUUAUUUUUGAAUUGCGAGUGUGUUUAUACUCGUUCUGGUAAUUAUGCGAUUAUAGGGGAAGGAGAAGAGAAUGAGUUUAAUGCAGCCCACUCGAACCUGAAGUAUAGUAAUUGAGAUUUCAUAUUACAUUUUGUUUUUGCUAAAUCUUGGAAAUACUAUUUAUUUUCCUGUUUUAUUUUGUUAAUUAGCUUCAGCCAUAGGGUUUGGGGUAUUAAAUGAGAUGUAAUAGGAUAAUAUGAGUGUUAUCUUUGGUCAGACCCAAUCUGGAGGCCUGACAACAAGUUGAUGAAUAAUUAGUAACGUUAUACAUUUAUGUUGUCCAAUGAUUAUUUGCAUUGAAAUUUCAAGGGUUUUGAUGAGUCUGUCGGUCUUCCUUCAUGCCCAUAACUGCGGCGUCAAUAAAUGUUCAUUCGGAAUCAAAGUUUGCCCGGUCUCCAAGUCUUAGCUAGGGCUUCCGAAGUUAGAAUACAUAUACAAAGUUGACUUUGAAGGGUAAUGUAUAAACAAAAAUAAAAGGUGAUGUAAAUAUAAAUAAAACAAUACACAUGCAUAUAGCGCUCAAACACAUAUGAGUGAAGACUAGAGGUUUCAUUAACAAUUACUAAUAUCCAUCACCACUCAAGGUUUCAAGCUUCUAAUAUUAUCAAUGCUGGUAGCAGUAAAUUUCUUCUAUAUCUUCAGGGGGAAUCCCUUUUCUGGCAAUCACAUUUGAGAGGUACCUUUUUCUAGAUCUUCAAAUGUGAGAAUGUGGGUUGAAGUCUGGGAGUGGCCACUUUAUCUGAAAAUGCAUUUAGAUCUUAUUUCCAAUCCACCAUCAAGGUUUCAUAAUUGAUGAUUCUAAUAUUGUCAAUGCUGGUAGCAAUAAAUUUCGUCUAGGCCUUCAAGGGGAGUGCCUUUUCUGGUGAUCACAUUGGAGAUGCACCUUUUUCUAGAUCUUCAAAUGUUGGAAUGUGGGUUUGAGCCCGAGAGUGGCCACUUUGUGUGAAAAUGCAUUUACGUCUUGUUUCCAGUCGACCCCUCCCAAAACUCCAGACAGUUGGGACCAACAUUGGGUGAUGCCAUGAUGGCAGUGUUUUUCUCCAUUCAGCAUAAGGAUUAAUUAAAAGUAAACAGCAGAUUAACGGAGACAUGGGCUUUUAACUUGUUGGAAGUCAUGCCUUAAAGACAAAAAUGGAUGAUAUUUAGUUUAAAAUUAUAAUGGGAGUGUAGUAUAGGCUGACGUUGAGUCAAUGCUUCUGCAUAGGUUAUGGAUGAUUUACCAGGCAUUUAUUGGGGGCAUGGUGUUCCAUUAUGUAUGUUUCUGCUGAUGGCAUUCUUGAUUGACAAAAUUUAGGGUGCAUGCAACUUGUUGUGGAAAAAUGCAUUAGAUUCAA